rnacentral:rRNA from 1 species
AGAGUUUGAUCCUGGCUCAGAAUCAACGCUGGCGGCGUGCCUAACACAUGCAAGUCGAACGCGAAAGCCUCGCAAGGGGCAAGUAGAGUGGCAAACGGGUGAGUAACGCGUGGGUGACCUGCCUUCGAGCGGGGGAUAACGUUUCGAAAGGAACGCUAAUACCGCAUAACAUCCUGCCUUUGAACAGGCGGUGAUCAAAG